AUAAUUAAAUGUUGUGUGAUAAAAGAAUGGUUAAAUUGAGUUUUAAUACUAAAAUGGUAUUUACGUGGUUCUUUGUAGUUAAGCCACAUAUUUCUGAUUGAAUCUGCUUCAGCCACUGAACAUCUGUUCUUUCAAGUCCACCCUAUUACCUUUAUCACUUCAUUUUCUGAAAAUUUGCCCAAACGCACCAAACUUAAAUUCAUUUCCGUUCGGUUGUCUGCAGAGCUUCACAAGGUAAUUAAUCCUUUUAUUCAGUAAAUAAAUUAUACAGUUUUGUUUCAAUACAGCAAGCCUAUCUUUUCUUCUUUCUUUCAUCUUGAGCAAACACACCAAGCAACCUAAGAUUUCUCACAAAAAAAAUUCUCAUUCUUGAAUUCAGAUACCCAACACACAUCUUCUGUUAAUCGACCCACGUACAAAAUCAGAUGCCUUAAUUAUCUAAUCUAAAACAAAUAAAAUGAAAUUAGAUAUAUAGAAUGACAGGGAGGAAUUAGAGAUGGAAUUGUCGGCCGAAGAAGGGAGGGCUCGCCGCGAGGAGAGAUGAAGGCUCGGCGGUGGCUACUCGUCGGAGCAGGAGAGCGGCGGUGGCCGUUGUUUUAUUUUUCUUUUUUUUUAAAAUGAUGUUUUUAUUUGCACCUAAUAUAAGUAUCUAUGUUUUGUUUAGUGUAAGCUUGAGUAUUAUCUUUAUGUGGCUUCAUACUUAGGGCGUGUUUGAUUUCUUUGUUAAGGGUAGUUUGUAUAGCAAAUUGGUAAUUUUUUGGUGUUUGAUAUGUAAUUUAAGGAUAGCUGGAGUCCCGGACUUAGCGCAUGGCCCGCGCCUAAUUCACUGUUCAACUAAGGAAAUGGGUGAGGGGGUGGGCUCCGGUUAGUGUAGCUGGAGUGGCAAAUUUAUUUUUCUUUCCCAAAAUUGCCCCAAUUCAUCUCUCUCUCUCUCUCUCUCUCUCUCCUCGUUCUUCCUCAUCUCUCUGGAAGAUCUUCUCUCUCGCUCUCGAUCUCUCUUUGCAACAUGAAUCUCUCCUCAUUCUCAUCUUCCUCAUGAAAUCCGGUAAGCUCUCUCGUCGCCGAGGAUCGCCGUCAACAGCCAACCCCUUAUUUUCUCGUCUUCCUUCUUUUCUUCUCUCUUUCGCCCCUCCCCAUUCUCUCUCUCUUCGCCGUGAACGGCUGCGGCCACGCUGCACAUGCAGCGCCGGCCGCUGCUGCCACCAUUCUCCAGCCCCGACUCCACUCCUUCCCCUACCCUGACCUUUAAUUUGUUAGUCCUCCAGAAUUCCCCAAUUUCAGGAACCCUC
rnacentral:lncRNA from 1 species